UACGAAGGGGGCGAGCGUUGUUCGGAUUUACUGGGCGUAAAGGGCGCGUAGGCGGCCCUCUUUGUCGCGUGUGAAAGCCCCGGGCCUCAACCUGGGAAUGGCGCGCGAAACGGGGGGGCUUGAGUUCGGGAGAGGUAAGUGGAAUUCCGAGUGUAGAGGUGAAAUUCGUAGAUAUUCGGAAGAACACCAGUGGCGAAGGCGGCUCACUGGCUCGGUACUGACGCUGAGGUGCGAAAGCGUGGGGAGCAAACAGG
rnacentral:rRNA from 1 species